GCCAGUGAUAUUGUCCUGUCACAGCAGUAUUGUUUAAUUUAACAUUUCGUACUGCUGAGCCGGGGCAUUAACAUUGUU
rnacentral:pre_miRNA from 1 species